UGGGACCUACGGGGGGCAGCAGGUAGGAAGAUUAGGAAAUGGGGGAAACCCUGACCGAGCAAUGCCGCGUGUGAGAUGACGGCCCUAUGGGUUGUAAAUCACUUUUAUUUGGGAAGAAUUGUGAGCAUAGGAAAUGAUGUUUACUUGACGGUACCUUUUGAAUAAGCCCCGGCUAACUACGUGCCAGCAGCCGCGGUAAUACGUAGGGGGCGAGCGUUAUCCGGAUUUAUUGGGCGUAAAGCGUGCGUAGGCGGCUUGUUAAGUCCAGAAUUAAAGCCCGAGGCUUAACCUCG
rnacentral:rRNA from 1 species